UAGGGAAUCUUCGGCAAUGGACGAAAGUCUGACCGAGCAACGCCGCGUGAGUGAAGAAGGUUUUCGGAUCGUAAAACUCUGUUGUUAGAGAAGAACAAGGACGUUAGUAACUGAACGUCCCCUGACGGUAUCUAACCAGAAAGCCACGGCUAACUACGUGCCAGCAGCCGCGGUAAUACGUAGGUGGCAAGCGUUGUCCGGAUUUAUUGGGCGUAAAGCGAGCGCAGGCGGUUUCUUAAGUCUGAUGUGAAAGCCCCCGGCUCAACCGGGGAGGGGCAUUGGAAACUGGGGGACUUGAGUGCAGAAGAGGGGAGGGGAAUUCCAUGUGUAGCGGUGAAAUGCGUAGAUAUAUGGAGGAACACCAGUGGCGAGGGCGGCUCUCUGGUCUGUAACUGACGCUAAGGCUCGAAAGCGUGGGGAGCAAACAGG
rnacentral:rRNA from 1 species